rnacentral:rRNA from 1 species
CUGGCUCAGGAUGAACGCUAGCGACAGGCUUAACACAUGCAAGUCGAGGGGCAGCGGUGGUGAAGGCUUGCCUUCACCAGCCGGCGACCGGCGCACGGGUGAGUAACACGUAUGCAACCUGCCUGCCACAGCCGGAUAAUCGGGAGAAAUUCCGUCUAAUACGGCAUAAUGCAUCGACGGGACAUCCUGUUGGUGCCAAAGGUUAACUCCGGUGGCGGAUGGGCAUGCGUCGCAUUAGUUAGUUGGCGGUGUAACGGACCACCAAGACGACGAUGCGUAGGGGUUCUGAGAGGAAGGUCCCCCACACUGGUACUGAGACACGGACCAGACUCCUACGGGAGGCAGCAGUGAGGAAUAUUGGUCAAUGGGCGGGAGCCUGAACCAGCCAAGUCGCGUGAGGGAUGACGGUCCUAUGGGUUGUAAACCUCUUUUGCCGGGGAGCAAAGUGCCGCACGUGUGCGGUUUGGAGAGUACCCGGAGAAAAAGCAUCGGCUAACUCCGUGCCAGCAGCCGCGGUAAUACGGAGGAUGCGAGCGUUAUCCGGAUUUAUUGGGUUUAAAGGGUGCGUAGGCGGACGCUUAAGUCAGCGGUAAAAUUGCGGGGCUCAACCUCGUCGAGCCGUUGAAACUGGGUGCCUUGAGUGGGCGAGAAGUACGCGGAAUGCGUGGUGUAGCGGUGAAAUGCAUAGAUAUCACGCAGAACUCCGAUUGCGAAGGCAGCGUACCGGCGCCCUACUGACGCUGAAGCACGAAGGCGUGGGUAUCGAACAGGAUUAGAUACCCUGGUAGUCCACGCAGUAAACGAUGAAUGCUAGUUGUCCGGGGCGAUUGAGUUCUGGGUGACACAGCGAAAGCGUUAAGCAUUCCACCUGGGGAGUACGCCGGCAACGGUGAAACUCAAAGGAAUUGACGGGGGCCCGCACAAGCGGAGGAACAUGUGGUUUAAUUCGAUGAUACGCGAGGAACCUUACCCGGGCUCAAACGCAGGAGGGAUGUUUUUGAAAGGAGGCAGCCAGCAAUGGUCUCCUGCGAGGUGCUGCAUGGUUGUCGUCAGCUCGUGCCGUGAGGUGUCGGCUUAAGUGCCAUAACGAGCGCAACCCCUACCUACAGUUGCCAUCGCGUGAUGGCGGGCACUCUGUGGGGACUGCCUGCGCAAGCAGUGAGGAAGGCGGGGAUGACGUCAAAUCAGCACGGCCCUUACGUCCGGGGCGACACACGUGUUACAAUGGCAGGUACAGCGGGAAGCCACCCGGCGACGGGGCGCGGAACCCGAAAACCUGUCUCAGUUCGGAUUGGAGUCUGCAACCCGACUCCAUGAAGCUGGAUUCGCUAGUAAUCGCGCAUCAGCCACGGCGCGGUGAAUACGUUCCCGGGCCUUGUACACACCGCCCGUCAAGCCAUGGAAGCCGGGGGUGCCUGAAGUGCGUGACCGCAAGGAGCGCCCUAGGGUAAAACCUGGUGACUGGGGCUAAGUCGUAACAAGGU